GUUGACUAAAGAGGGAUUUGCAACGGUGGGACCAACCACUACAAUGGAAGCUUUGGCUGCAGCAGAUUCAAUUAAUACUACAACAACCCUUUCUCCUUCAACCACUUCUGAAGCAACCACACAGCUCACAAUAACAGAAACUUUGCAACCUACAAAAACUGAGACAAUCACAUCAACUGCAACAACGUCUGUGUCUACAAUACAAUUGAGUUUGACAACACCUUCUACUUUAGGAGCUACUACAUCUCACUUGACCUCACCUGAAUCUACAACUGUGGAAAAAACAACCACCACAACGGAAAUUCCAACAUCAGCGGAAUCCAUUUCUAUAACAACAAUUUCUCCCUCAACCACCUCCCUAACAACACAACUCAAAUCAACAGAUAUUGUACAACCUACAACCGAGAAGCAAACAACCCAGCUUGCUUCUAUAACAUCUACAACACCUGACACAACAACAUCAUCCAUAACAACUUUUGUGUCAACUCCAGAAGUGAGUACAACCACAGCUUCUACUUUAGGAGCUGCUACAUCUCACUUGACUUCACCUGAAUCUACAACUGUGGAAACAACAACAACCACAACUGAAGCUUUAACAUCAGCGGAAUCCAUUUCUACAACAACAAUUUCUCCUUCAACCACCUCCCAAACAACACAACUCACAACAACAGAAAUUGUACAACCUACAACUGAGAAGCAAACAACCCAGCUUGCUUCUACUACAUCUACAACACCUGAAGCAACAACAUCGUCCAAGACAACUUUUGUGUCAACUCCAGAAGUGAGUACAACCACAGCUUCUACUUCAGGAGCUACUACAUCUCACUUGACUACACCUGAAUCUACAACCGUGGAAACAACUGCAACAACAGAAGCUUCAACAAAAACAGAAUCAAUUUCUACAACAACUAUUUCUCCUUCAACCACCUCCCAAACAACACAACUCACAACAACAGAAAUUGUACAACCUACAACCGAGAAGAUAACAACCCAGCGUGCUUCUACUACAUCUACAACACUUGACACAACUACAUCAUCCAUAACAACUUUAGUAUCAACUCCAGAAGUGAGUACAACCACAGCUUCUACUUUAGGAGCUACUACAUCUCACUUGACUACACCUGAAUCUACAACUGUGGAAACAACAACCACAACUGAAGCUUCAACAUCAGCGGAAUCCAUUUCUACAACAACAAUUUCUCCUUCAACCACCUCCCAAACAACACAACUCACAACAACAGAAAUUGUACAACCUACAACCGAGAAGCAAACAACCCAGCUUGCUUCUACUAUAUUUACAACACUUGACACAACAACAUCAUCCAUAACAACUUUAGUGUCAACUCCAGAAGUGAGUACAACCACAGCUUCUACUUUAGGAGCUACUACAUCUCACUUGACUACACCUGAAUCUGCAACUGUGGAAACAACAACAACCACAACUGAAGCUUCAACAUCAGCGGAAUCCAUUUCUACAACAACAAUUUCUCCUUCAACCACCUCCCAAACAACACAACUCACAACAACAGAAAUUGUACAACCUACAACUGAGAAGCAGACAACCCAGCUUGCUUCUAGUACAUCUACAACACCUGAGACAACAACAUCAUCCAUAACAACUUUUGUGUCAACCCCAGAAAAGAGUACAACAACAGCUUCUACUUUAGAAGCUACUACAUCUCACUUGACAACAACUGAAUCUACAACCAUGGAAUCAACAACAACAGAAGCUUCGACUACAACGGAAUCCAUUUCUACAACAAUUUCUCCUUCAACCACCAAUCAAACAACACAACUCACAACAACAGAAAUUGUGCAACCUACAACUGAGAAGCAAACAACCCAGCUUGCUUCUAUAACAUCUACAACACCUGAGACAACAACAUCAUCCAUAACAACUUUUGUGUCAACUCCACAACAGAGUACAACCACAGCUUCUACUUUAGGAGCUACUACAUCUCACUUGACUACACCUGAAUCUACAACCAUGGAAACAACAACCACCACAACGGAAGCUUCAACAACAACAGAAUCAACUUCUACAACAACAAUUUCUCCUUCAACCACCUCCCAAACAACACAACUCACAACAACAGAUAUUGAGCUACCUACAACUGAGAAGAAAACAACCCAGCUUGCUUCUACUACAUCUACAUUACCUGAGACAACAACAUCAUCCAAGACAACUUUAGUGUCAACUCCAGAAGUGAGUACAACCACAGCUUCUACUUUAGGAGCUACUACAUCUUACUUGACAACAACUGAAUCUACAACCAUGGAAUCAACAACAACAACAACAGAGGCUUCGACUACAACGGAAUCCAUUUCUAUAACAACAUAUUCACCUUCAACCACAUUCAAAACAACAGAUCUCACAACAACAGAAAUUGUGCAACCUACAACUGAGAAGCAAACAACCCAGCUUGCUUCUACUACAACUACAACACUUGAGACAACAGCAUCAUCUAUUACAUCUUUUGUGUCUACACCAGAAUUGAGUACAACCAUGGCAAUUACCUUAGAAACAACUACAUCUCAGCUGAGUGCAGCUGUAUCUACCACCGUGGAAUUCCCAAUCACAACAGAAGCUUCAACAUCAACGGAAUCCAUUUCUACAACAACAUAUUCUCCUUCAACCACCUCCCAAACAACAGAUCUCACAACAACAGAUAUUGUGCAACCUACAACUGAGAAGCAAUCAACACAGCUUGCUUCUACUACAUCUACAAAACCUGACACAACAAUAUCAUCCAUAACAACUUUUCUGUCUACACCAGAAGUGAGUACAAGAACAGCUUCUACUUUAGGAGCUACUACAUCUCUCUUGACUGCAGCUGUAUCUACAACCGUCGAAUUACCAACCACAACGGAAGCUUCAACAUUAACGGAAUCUAUUUCUACAACAACAAUUUCUCCUUCAACCACCUCCCAAACAGCACAACUGACAACAACAGAAAUUGUGCAACCUACAACUGAGAAACAAACAACCCAGCUUGCUUCUACUACAUCUGCAACACCUGACACAACAAUAUCAUCCAUAACAGCUUUUCUGUCUACACCAGAAGUGAGUACAACCACAGCUUCUACCUUAGAAACAACUACAUCUCAGCUGAGUGCAGCUGUAUCUACCACCGUGGAAUUCCCAAUCACAACAGAAGCUUCAACAUCAACGGAAUCCAUUUCUACAACAACAUAUUCUCCUUCAACCACCUCCCAAACAACAGAUCUCACAACAACAGAUAUUGUGCAACCUACAACUGAGAAGCAAACAACCCAGCUUGCUUCUACUACAGCUACAACACCUGACACAACAAUAUCAUCCAUAACAACUUUUCUGUCUACACCAGAAGUGAGUACAACCACAGCUUCUACUUUAGUAGCUACUACAUCUCAGCUGAUUGCAGCUGUAUCUACAACCAUGGAAUUCCCAAUUACAACAGAAGCUUCAACAUCAACGGAAUCCAUUUCUACAACAACAAUUUCUCCUUCAACCACCUUCCAAACAACCGAUCUCACAACAACAGAAAUUGUCCAACCUAAAACUGAGAGGCAAACAACCCAGCUUGCUACUACUACAGCUACAACACUUGAGACAACAACAUCAUAUAUAACAAAUUUUGUGUCUACACCAGAAGUGAGUACAACCACAGCUUCUACCUUAGAAACAACUACAUCUCAGCUGAGUGCAGCUGUAUCUACAAACAUGGAAUUCCCAAUCACAACAGAAGCUUCAACAUCAACGGAAUCCAUUUCUACAACAACAUAUCCUCCUUCAACCACCUCCCAAACAACACAACUCACAACAACAGAAAUUGUGCAACCUACAACUGAGAAUCAAACAACCCAGCUUGCUUCUACUGCAUCUACAACACCUGAGAUAAAAACAUUAUCCCUGACAACUUUUGUGUCAACUCCAGAAGUGAGUAAAACCACAGCUUCUACCUUAGAAACUACAACAUCUCACAUGAUUGCAGCUGUAUCUACAACCGUGGAACUAACAACAACAACAGAAGCUUCAACUACAACAGAAUCCAUUUCUACAACAACAAUAUCUCCUUCAACCACCUCAACAGAUUAUGUGCAACCUACAACUGCUUUUACUACAUCUACAACACCUGAGAAAACAACAUCAUCCAUUACAUCUUUUGUGUCUUUACCAGAAAUGACUACAACCACGGCUUUUACCUUAGAGACUACUACAUCGCAGUUGACUACAUCUGGAUCUACAACUGUGGAAUCAAGCACAACAGCUGAAAUAUUUGCUGCAACAGAAUCAAUUGAUACUUCAACAGAAACAGUGGAAUCAACCACAACAUCGGAAGCUUCAAAUACAUCAGAAUCAGUUUCAAUGACAACAAUAUCUCCUUCAACAUUUUCACAAAUGACAGCACAAAUCAUAAGAACAGAAAGUGUGGAACCUACAACUGAGAGGCAAACAACCCAGCUUGCUUCUACUACAUCUACAACACCUGAGAUAACAACAUUACUCCUGACAACUUUUGUGUCUUCACCGGAAUUGAGUACCACCCCAGCUUUUACGUUAAGCACUACUAAAACUCAGGUGACUACAGGUGAAACUACAACUGCCAAAUCAACGAUAAUAAAAGGAGUAUUGGCUUUAACAGAAUCAAUUUCUGCAACAACAGUUUCUCCUACAACAAAUUCCCAAAGAACAACAAAACUCACAACAACAGAAUCUAUGAAUUUUACAACUGAAAGUCAAACGACCCAGCUUGCUUCUACUACACCUUCAACAUCGGAGAUAACCACAUCAAUCGUGACAAAUUAUAUAUCUACGCCAGAAUUGAGUACUACAACAGCUUUUACCUUAGGCACUACUACAUCACAGUUGAAUACAGUUGAAUCUACAACUGUGGAAUCAGCCACAACAAAAAUUUUGGCCACAACAGAAACAAUUCCUAUGUUAUCAACAACAGCUUCUCCUUUAACCACUUCCCAAAUGGCAACACAACACACAACAACAGAAACUGUGGAACCUACAGCUGAAAGUCAAUCCACCCAACUUGUUUUUAUAAGAUCUACAACACCUGAUACAACAACAACACCAACUGCAACAACUGAAGCUUCAGCUACAACCGACAUUUUAACAACCACUGCUCGAUCCCCUUUCCAAAAAACAGGGCCACUUACGGCAAACGAAUCUGUGGAACCAAUAAAUGACAAUCAAUCCAGUAAACUACCAUUUACUACAGCUACAACAGUUGGUAUUACACCCACACCAAUUGUUGAACUGAGUUACACCACAGCAUCUCCCUUAGAUCAUAUAACACUUCAAUUCACAACAAGUACAGCAGAAACAGUGGAAUCAACCACAACAACUGAAGCUUCAACAUUAACAGAAGCACAAACUACAAUCACUGCUUUUUCAUCUACAUCCCAAACAACAGGUGAACUCACACCAAACAAAUCAGAGGAACCUACAACUAAAAGUCAAUCCACUCAACUUCUUUUUACUAAAUCUACAACACUUGAUGUUACAUCCAUACCAAGUGUUGUAUCUAAAGCAGAACUGAGUAACACCACAGCAUCUUUCUUAGACACUACAGCAGAAUCUACAACACCUGAAUUAACCACUACAUCUAAAGCUUCAGCUACAACAGAAGCAAUAACUGCAACCACUGCUUUUUCAUUCGCAUCUCAAACAACAGGUCGACUCAUACCAACAGAAACUGUGGAACCUACAAUUGAAAGUCAAUUCACAAUGCUUCCUUCUACCACACGUACAAAAACUGAUGUUACAAUUACACCAAGUGUUGUGGCUACAGCAGAACUCAGUAACACAACAGGUCAACUUACACCAAGUGAAUCUGUGGAACCAACAACUAAAAUUCAGUCCACUCAAGAUCCAUUUACUAAAUCUGCAACACUUGAUAUUACAACCACACUAAUUGAUGUAUCUACAGCGGAAUUGAAGAAGACCACAUCACCUACCUUAGACACUAUAACCCGUCAAUUGACAAGUACAGAAGAAUCUACAACCAUGGAAUCAAACAGCACAAAAGAAGCUUCAGCUACAACAGAAGCAGUAAAUACAAGCACUGCUUUUUUAUCAAUAUUUCAAACAACAGGUCAACCCACACCAUCAGAAACUGUGGAACCUACAACUGAAAGUCAAUCCACUCAUCAUUCAUUUACUAUAUCUACAACACUGGAAUCAAGCAGCACAACUGAAGCUUCAGCUACAACAGAAGCAAUAGCUACAAACACUGCUUAUUCAUUCGCAUCCAUUCAUUCGCAAACAAGACAAUUCACAGCAACAGAAACUGUGGAACCUACAACUGAGGGUCAAUCCAGACAAAUUCCUUUUACCACAUUUAGAACACCUGAUAAAACAACCACAUCAACUGUCACAACUGAAGCAUCAUCUACAAAAUUAGGUAUAACUACAACCACUGUUCCUUCAUUCACUUCCCAAACAACAAGUCAACUCACACCAACAGAAACUGAGGAAUAUACAACAGAAAGUCUAACAACCCAACUUCCUUCUACUACAUCUUCGAAACCUGAUAUAACAACCACAAAAACGGUUGUGUCUACACCAGAAUUGAGUAAGACCAUAGCUUCUACCCUAGGGGCAAUUACAUCCCAGUUGACUACAUCCAAUUUUACAAAAGUGGAAACAACAUCCAUCAUAAAGGAAAGUACUGUCUCUUCAACCACCUCCAAAACAACACAACAGCUCUCUACAAAAACUCCGGAACCGACAAAUGAAAGUCAAUUAAGCCAAUUUCCUUUAUCUACAUUUGAUAUAACACCUGAUAGAACAACACCACCUUCUGGAUCUAUAACAGAACUGAGUAGCACCAAUGCUUUUACCUUUGACAGUACAACACCUCAGUUGACUACACCGACAAAAGAAAAAAUGACUGCUACUUCUGGAACUUUACUGAGUUCUGCAACAACCUCAACAACUGCGCAUACAGAUAUAAAAAUGAUAGCAUAUGUGUACUGCCACCUGGUCUUCAACUCUUCCACACCCAUCGCCAGUGACACCGCAGCAGUUAAUACUACACGCAUACUUCUGUUGUCUUUAUCUGCAAGCUUCAAUCAAAUAAUUCAGAUGGAAAAUGUGACAUACGAAGAAAUAUCAGGGACUUCAUAUGCAGUCAUCAUCAGCUUAAGGCUAAACAAUGUCAGCACGCCAGAGAAAAGGGAAUCUGCAAACGACACAUAUAACCAAAUUCAGAAUACUAUUAAUAACAUGCUCAACACAGUCUUCAGUGAUUUUGGACAAAGUCCUUUGACUUUCCAAAGUGCAAACUUCAUGAUAAAUUCAGAUUAUAUUGAAGGGCACAUGGAGUAUAUUAUCCAGGAAAAUGAAAGUGGUAUGAUCAGUACCACUACGGUGCCCAUGAUUCCAGUGUCAAUCACCCCUCAAGUCAACAUAGUGGGGUCAGCUCUCAUCUACGCUUAUCUGGUCUUCAACUCUUCCACACCCAUCGCCAGUGACACCGCAGCAGUUAAUACUACACGCACACUUCUGUUGUCUUUGUCUGCAAACUUCUAUCAAACAAUUCAGGUGGAGAAUGUGACAUAUGAACAAAUAUCAGACACUUCAUAUGCAGUCAUCAUCAGCUUAAGGCUAAACAAUGUCAGCAUGCCAGAGAAAAGUGAAUCUGCAAACGACACAUAUAGCCAAAUUCAGAAUACUAUUAAUAACAUGCUCAACACAGUCUUCAGUGAUUUUGGACAAAGUCCUUUGACUUUCCAAAGUGCAAACUUCAUGAUGAAUUCAGAUUAUAUUGAAGGGCACAUGGAGUAUAUCAUCCAGGAAAAUGAAAGUGGUAUGAUCAGUACCACUACGGUGACCCUGUUUCCAGUGUCAAUCACCCCUCAAGUCAACAUAGUGGGGUCAGCUCUCAUCUACGCUUAUCUGGUCUUCAACUCUUCCACACCCAUCGCCAGUGAGACCACAGCAGUUAAUACUACACGCACACUUCUGCUGUCUUUGUCUGCAAACUUCUAUCCAACAAUUCAGGUGGAGAAUGUGACAUAUGAACGAAGUUCAGAGACCUCAUAUGCAGUUAUUAUCAUCUUAAGGCUAAGCAAUGUCAGCAUGCCAGAGUUAAGUGAAUCUGCAAAUGACACAUAUAACCAAAUUCAGAAUACUAUUAACAACAUGCUCAACACAGUCUUCAGUGAACAUGGACAAACUCUUUUGAUCUUUCAAUAUGCAAACUUUAUGACAAAUUCAGAUCAAAUUGAAGGGCUCAUGGAAUAUACAAUCCAGGAAAGUGAAACUACCACACCAUUUACAACUACAGCCACAUCAAUGUCUACAACAGAGGGUUUUGAUACAGCAAGCGCAACUGAAGCUGAGCCUGCUAGCACAAAAAUUACACUCCUUUGGUCAGGUGCAUCAGUACCAGAAACCACUACGGUUCCUCAGACUGUACUUGGUACAGUUUUGAUCUACAUACGACUGGUGUUUCAAACUUUGGGUCCCAUUCCCAGUGAGAGUGCAGUCCUCAAUGCUGCUAACACCCUAUUGGACUCUAGAGUCAGGACCACCCUGAAUAAUCCAGUGAAAAAUCAAAAUGUUACUUAUGAGAGAAUAAACAGCACUGCAUUUGCUAUCAACUUUGGAUAUGGCAUCAGCAAUGUUGUAAUGUCAUCACAUUUUACCCUCAGAAAUGACACAUAUAUCUUAAUUGAGAGUUCUGUCAAUAAACUGCUCAACAUGAUUUUGAGCAACAACAAUACAAUUCCAUUUACAUUUGGACCUUUAAAAUUUUUGGAUGGAACCAAUGAAAUUCAGGCUGAUGUACAAUAUGUUUUUAAUGAGAGUGACUUGAAAUCACCAAGUCUCUUCCUGGAGGAGAUCAUGAAACUUAGUGGUCUACAGCCAACCACAGCAACUAUUACAGAAAUAACAAGUAAUAAUACAACAACAGCAUCAGCAGGAGGCUUUCCUGGAUGGGCUUUAGCAAUCAUUAUACCCUGCGGUAUUGCAAUCAUCCUUGUUCCACUCUGGAUCCUUCUUUGUUGUUUGCUGUGUGGCUGUUGCGCAGCCCUCAGGAGACGUUGGAGAAGACGGCAAUCUUACAAUGUUCAGUACACUACACGCAAUGGUCUAUUCUGAGUGUAUUUGCACAAAUAAUGAUUAACAUGUAUUAUUUAAAUGUUUGAAAAGUUGUUCUGUUAUGAAAUUAAUGGGUUUUUGAGUUACAAUGUAAGAAUGGUUCAACUAACACAGUGUAUGUUUCGUACAGACAGUAUGUUUCUUAUUGUUUUGUGAAUCUGCUUGUAUUUAUUAACUUAUUUUUAAUUAUUCAAUUUACUGUAUUUAAUUUCUUCAUUUAUGCAAAGGUUUUAUAACAUUAGUCAUUAUGUUCUGGAAUUAAAUUAUUUAACAAUAUAUUUAUUAAACAUGUGUGUACCGUUUACCGUUCUGCUACUCUGACCUGCUGUAAUUAAAAAAAAUAAAAAAUUCUCAGAUAUUAAUAAAUGGUAA
ensembl:lncRNA mucin-3A-like